rfam:Tetraodon nigroviridis chromosome undetermined SCAF14779, whole genome shotgun sequence.
GAGUCAGAUGAUGAGUUAGUUACCGCCCCAGUCUGAUUAUUCAUGACUGAUUGGUAUCCUCUGAAUAAAA